CCCUUAGAUGUUCUGGGCCGCACGCGUGCUACACUGAGUAAAUCAAUGGGUAAGGGAACACGAAAGUGCAACCUAAUCUUCAAAUUUGCUCGUGAUGGGGAUCGACGGUUGCAAUUUUCCGUCGUGAACGAGGAAUACCUUGUAGGCGCGUGUCAUCAUCACGCGCCGAAUACGUCCCUGCCCUUUGUACACACCGCCCGUCGCUCCUACCGAUUGAGUGAUCCGGUGAGGCUCUGGGACCGUGAGUCUGUUUGCUUCAUUGCGAGUGGAUUGAUGGGAACUUUUUUAAACCUCGCCAUUUAGAGGAAGGUGAAGUCGUAACA
rnacentral:rRNA from 1 species